AUGCAGCGGCUCAUCCAACAACACUUGCACAGAGCGCAACAGAGAAUGAAGAAGUUUGCAGACCGCAAGCGGUCGGAACGAGUGUUUGAGGUGGGGGACAAGGUGUAUCUGCGAUUACAACCACACAUCCAAACUUCGGUGGCUCCAAGAUCGUCUCACAAACUUUGUUUUCGUUUCUUUGGACCAUUUGAAGUGCUUCAACGCGUGGGAGCAGUGGCCUACAAACUCAAGCUGCCGGCUGGAAGCCAAGUACACCCAGUUUUUCACGUGUCCCAGCUGAAAAAAGCAGUGGCGCCUACAACACCGGUGAGUACUGACCUUUCUGUUCUGCUCAUUGCUGAUGACAAGCGACAACCUGAGCAGAUUUUGGAGGCGAGGCUGGUGCGGCAAGGCAAGAAGUUGCUUCCGCAAGUCAAGACUCUUUGGACUGGACUGCCAGAAAACUUUGCUACCGGGGAACAACUUCAUGCUCUUCAUCGAAGGUAUGCGGAAGCACCAGCAUGGGGACAUGCUGCGUCUCGGGGAGGGAGCAUUGUCACGGCCUUCCUGAAGACUGAGGCACAACGACCGAAGAAGAGAGCAGAGAAGAGAGAGCGGAGCAGGCUGACUCAUGCACUCAAGGCCGCCACAGGGGAGGCCGGCCCAUGA
rnacentral:rRNA from 1 species